GGUGGCACUUAUCCCCUCUGCCAAGUAACUCAGCUGGAGAGAAUUAUCCCUUGAUUGCUGCUGAGGGAACAGAGUUGCACAGAGCUCAUCGGUGAGCCUGCAGGUGGAAGGGAGAUGAUUGGCUUCCCUUUGCAAAGGACAGAUCAAGAGGAAAAGCCUCUGUGUUUCCAGAAAGCAAAGAUGGCCUCAAGGAAGACCGUGACCUUCUCUUGGAGCAUGAUCUCUAUCAGCUUUGUCAUCUGGACUGCCCAGGCAUGAUCCUCCAGAGCAAGACUCAAACAGAACCAUUUGGGGACACUCCUGAGUCAUCUUGCAUCCCUUUCCUACAUGCUAAUAACUUCUUUGGUGUCCUGCCACUUGGAGGAUCCCCUCUCGAAGAGCAGUAAAGCCACAGCGGGGCCUCGUCACAAUGCUAAGCUGAGCCAAAAGGAGCAUGGGAUGCACUGGUUUGGAAGAGGGCAAGGACACAAGUGCCCAUCGACUAUGGAAACUGGACCGAAAUAAUUCAAAACCGCUGACCUUCAAAGAUACCAACGCUCACCUUUUUAGUGGUGCCCUUGGAGAGAUCAUCCCCAAAUGACUGCAAGCUGCAACAAAUGUGAUUUUAGAUUUGCAUAUAUCUGAUGUCAACCAGCAGGUUUCAGGAUACAAAAUACCAGGCCACACAUUGAAAUCAGCAGUAAAAUCUAGCCAAACAGAACAGCAAUAUAAACAAAGGGGCUGGAAGACAUUAGAACCCACAAGAGAAAAAAGCUGAAGUGGGCUGUAAAACCAUUCCAAACAGCCUCACCAUAUAACUGCCACAUAAUGCACCUUUACAAGUCACUUCCUCCAGUUUACAAAGUGUAUGUGGAAUUGUGAUAAAUACCAUCUCAAACAGAUUUACGCAAAACUGUAUAAACAAGACAACAUUUCUGUAGUGUGCCAGGUAAAACUGACAGGACAUGAGUAAUAAUGGGUCAUAAGAGACAGAUGGAAUAAGUCUGGUCUGAUAAAUGCAUGGUGCAAGUCACAGAGAAUAAACGUGUCAAUCUCCCUG